rnacentral:tRNA from 1 species
GGGGUUGUGCCUGAAUUAAAGGGUUACUUUGAUAGAGUAAAUUAUGAGGGUUAGACCCCCUCCAGCCCCU